rnacentral:misc_RNA from 1 species
UGCGUCACGCCGGCGAAGUCGC